rnacentral:rRNA from 1 species
UCCGUAGGUGAACCUGCGGAGGGAUCAUUACCGAGUUUACAACUCCCAAACCCAAUGUGAACGUUACCAAACUGUUGCCUCGGCGGGGUCACGCCCCGGGUGCGUAAAAGCCCCGGAACCAGGCGCCCGCCGGAGGAACCAACCAAACUCUUUCUGUAGUCCCCUCGCGGACGUAUUUCUUACAGCUCUGAGCAAAAAUUCAAAAUGAAUCAAAACUUUCAACAACGGAUCUCUUGGUUCUGGCAUCGAUGAAGAACGCAGCGAAAUGCGAUAAGUAAUGUGAAUUGCAGAAUUCAGUGAAUCAUCGAAUCUUUGAACGCACAUUGCGCCCGCCAGUAUUCUGGCGGGCAUGCCUGUCCGAGCGUCAUUUCAACCCUCGAACCCCUCCGGGGGAUCGGCGUUGGGGAUCGGGACCCCUCACCGGGUGCCGGCCCUGAAAUACAGUGGCGGUCUCGCCGCAGCCUCUCCUGCGCAGUAGUUUGCACAACUCGCACCGGGAGCGCGGCGCGUCCACGUCCGUAAAACACCCAACUUCUGAAAUGUUGACCUCGGAUCAGGUAGGAAUACCCGCUGAACUUAAGCAUAUCAAUAAGCGGAGGA